UGCAUGAUAGAAUUCUUCAAUGACAGUGGGUGUAAAAACACUGAACUAUUUGGACUCAUUAUUCCAGUGGGAUAACUUACAGAAGUCACAGUUUUACAAAGGCCUGCCUGAAAUAAUUGAGAAGCUUCCCCACAGAGUCAGUCAUAUACAGGGUUAUUCCUUGUCUUGUAAAGGAAUUUGUGAAUCCCACUAUGGUACCAUUUGUGUUGCCGAAUGUUCUGUCAAUCGCAGAAAAUUGCACUAAAGAGGAGUUUAGUCAGCUCAUAUUACCAUAUCUCAAACCUGUCAUGAAGAUGACUGAUCCCAUUCAGAUUCUGCUGAUAUUCAUGCAGAAAAUGGAGUUACUGCUGAAGCUCUGUCCGUGUGAGGAAGUGAAGUCUGAUGUACUACCUAUGCUGUAACCGAGCACUAGAGACCGAUGCCCAGCAGAUCCAAGAACUGUGUCUCUCUGUUUUACCAACAAUAUGCCAGCCUCAUUGAGUAUCCAGCUAUGAAAAAUGCCCUUCUGCUGCCCAGAAUCAAGAGGCUAUGCAUUUCCACGUCCUUUAUAUCUGUACGUGUGAACUGCCUAGUGUGUGUCGGCAAAUUGUUGGAACACCUGGACAAGUGGUUGGUGUUGGAUGAAGUCUUGCCAUUCUUGCCUCAAAUACCCUCCA